GAAAUGCACAUGAUCUUUUAUCAACAAAUAGUAUGCAGUAAAUACAUAUUAAGUCUCUUCCAUAUAAUCUCACUGAUAAUUUUUCUUAAUGAGAUCCCCGAUAAAAAGAUUUUGCAAACAUUGCACAAUAAUGGCACCAAAAAUUAUGCUAAGCCCCGUUGAAAAAAUCCAGAUGGAAAUCUAAAUGCUUGUCCACAUGUAUAUCCAUUAGAUUGCUAUGGAUUUUAGAUGGUUUUGUAUGGAUUGCCUAUGGUUAUCCAUGUGAAAAGCUAUACUAAAAAGAUACACGGGAGGAAAUCUAUAUAGGUUGUCCAGAUGGAAAAUCAUACUAAAAAGAUGCAGGUGGAAAUCUAUAUGAUUAUCCAUAUAUAUAAUCAUAUGUAUUUCGACCUGUAUCUUUUUAGUAUGGUUUUUUAUCUGGAUAACCAUACGAAAUUCAUACAAAACCAUCUAAAAUCCAUGGAAAUAUGGAUUUUUAACUGUAUCUUUUCAACGGGGAGAUGAUUUGCCAUAACGCAACAGUUUUGACAGAAUAUAAUUCUUAAAUAAUAUUUAUUAAAGAUUAGACAAAUAUAAUUUGAAACAUAAAUAUUUUGCAAUUAAAAAACAACUAUAUAGUCGACUGACUGGCUAAAUUCCUUUAUUAAGUUAAAUAAUUACGACAUUUUGACCAUGGGAUUUGAUCCUUUUCAAGUGAUUACAGAUUAAUUAAUUGCUACAAUUGUUAAAAAGUCCGUGGAGCAAAUUUGGAAACUAUUCUAAAAUUACAAAGAGCACAAAUAUAAAAAAAUAUAAAAAGAACGCCAUAAAAAAUACUUUAUUAGGAUUUACGUGUCUCAGUGUCAAUCAAUGGAAACAAUAAAUAUAACAAAGACAAGUUAAAUUCAUUUGACCGAAAAGUCAAAACAUAGAUUAUACUUGUCAAGCAUGUAUGAGCGUAAAUAAGCGUCUGAAUAUUUCUGUACAUACCCAGAUAACAAAAUAUCCACUAAGUGAGCUUGCACGAGUACGAUGCAUGCACGUCGUACGGAUAAUUUUGCUUAUGCUAAACAGAUGCAUCCUCAAUUGAUGCUCAUAUGAGUGCCACAUGCAUACGGGUCAUAUGAGCAUCAAUUGCUCACCCUGUACUCUACUUUUUAAUAUAUAUAAUAUGUAUUAUUGCAGCUAUAAGAACGUAAAAUUAAAAAAACAAUAUAUAUUUUAUAAACAUUAAAAGACAUUAAAAGACAUUUAAAGACAUUUAAAAACAUGAUAUGACAUAACAUGACAUUUUUGAAUUAUGUAAAGUAACAUGUAAAGUAACUAUCAUAUACAUGACAAUUUAGAAUUAUGUAAGACAUAAGACAUUAUUGCAUAAUACAUAAUGCUAUAUUUUUAAAAAAAGCUGUUUUUUUUCAAAUCGCUGGAAAAAAACCAGAAAAAACCGGGGUUUUUUUUUUCAAAAUUUUUUUUUUUUUUUUUUUUUUUUUAGGAAAAAAAUAUUGUUUGUUGCAUAUAUCUUUUAUGGAAAGAAACUACAGCGGAUUACAGAAAAUUAUAUUACAGGAACUACAUAAAAGUAUUACACGAAAUUACAGACUGAAGUAUUAUAAUAUUCUGUAAUAUCAAGAGGCACGGUAGUGCCUUGCGCCAAGUGUACGCGUGCGAGGCAUUGCUAUGCCUCUAUUUACGCGAGACGCCGUUUGCGAGAUUCCGUAGAUUAUCGGAUCACAAUAACGGCUGAAUCAAUUGAUUUCUUAAUAAACUUAAUGGAUAACUUGCAUCCGAUUUAUAUAACAAAAGUGUUUUUAUUUUUCCACUACGUGACUUAUGAGCAAAGAUAUUACGAUUUAAAGUUUCGCGUCAAGAGUAAAAUUUUUAAGAAAUGUCGUCAUUAUUAUCGUCAUCGCCCGGGAUAGAUGGUGGGAAUUUGUACUUUUGCUUUUCGCGCGAUAGAUGGUUACGAAUGUGACAGGGACACAAGAAUUGACAAAAAGUGCAUGUUCAUGUCCGCAAAGAGCAGAACGAGAAAUUACGUGUCUUGAUUGAGUCCGUCUGUCGAGCUAAUGGGCGCGUUCAGCAGAUUCCAACAGUGAGCGAAUGAUCAGUGAGCGGUUUAUGAUACAGACCGUGUCUGCUGAACGGUGCAGUAAGAAUUUACUUUUCGGAAGCUACUGAACAAAAUAUUUCAGAGCCCAUCAAAUCUUGGCUAAGACAUGCAAGCGAACGUAAUAUUUAUAAGAAGUAUGUUGCUUUUUUAUGUCUUUACAAAUGUUAUAAUUAAAAUAAUAUGUUAAUGAAUUAUGAAGUUUUUAAAAAAUUAAUAUAAUUUUAAUAUUAUUUUAAGCUUGAAUAAGACAAAGAAAUCUUUCAUGGAAGAAAAAACCAAUCUAAUAUAGAACAGCAUGCAAAUAGACGCCUACAAAAA